AACGAACGCUGGCGGCAGGCCUAACACAUGCAAGUCGAACGCCCUAGCAAUAGGGAGUGGCGCACGGGUGCGUAACGCGUGGGAAUAUGCCCUUGACUACGGAACAACACAGGGAAACUUGUGCUAAUACCGUAUAAUGUCUCCGGACCAAAGAUUUAUCGGUCAAGGAUUAGCCCGCGUUAGAUUAGCUAGUUGGUGAGGUAAUGGCUCACCAAGGCUACGAUCUAUAGCUGGUCUGAGAGGAUGAUCAGCCACACUGGGACUGAGACACGGCCCAGACUCCUACGGGAGGCAGCAGUGAGGAAUAUUGGACAAUGGGGGGCAACCCUGAUCCAGCCAUGCCGCGUGAGUGAUGAAGGCCUUCGGGUUGUAAAACUCUUUAGACGUGACGAUGAUGACGGUAACAUCAGAAAAAGACUCCGGCUAACUUCGUGCCAGCAGCCGCGGU
rnacentral:rRNA from 1 species